rnacentral:rRNA from 1 species
UACGUAGGGGGCAAGCGUUACUCGGAAUUACUGGGAGUAAAGGGUGAGUAGGCGGCUGAGCAAGUCAAGGAUGAAAGCCCGAGGCUCAACUUCGGAAUUGUCCUUGAAACUGCUCAGCUUGAGGGUAGUUGAGGAGAGUGGAAUUCCCGGUGGAGCGGUGAAAUGCGUAGAUAUCGGGAGGAACACCUGAGGCGAAGGCGGCUCUCUAAGCUAUUCCUGACGCUGAAUCACGAAAGCUCGGGGAUCAAACGGG